CUGGGUAAUAUUUGUCAGAGAUGAAAGAACUGAAAUAAAAAGGAAAGAUUUUCUUUUAUUGGGAACAAGUCCCUGAGUUCAUCAUCUCACAGGAUUUUGUAGUUAGGGUCCUCACUUUUGGAUUACUUUUAUUCCAGAAAUCUUGCAUUUAAUGCAGCAUAAGAGCCUUAUCUACUGAGGUUAGGAUCAUCUCCUGGAAAAGUAAGCUGUGCAUCUGUAUCAACUCAGCCUGAGAUGCAGUUAACUAUGCAGACAAUCUGACACAUGGCCAUGCUUAUGGGAAAAAAAAAGCAUGUAUACUUCCUGCUGGAGUUCUCUUGCAGCCUGGACACAACCUUGUAGACUUCUACCAAACUUCCACCAUCUCAGAAGAACCACAAGAACAAUGAGGAACAGCAGUUCCACAGUUGUUUGUAGGAUCUUUGCAUAUCACUUGAAAUGAUAAUCCUAAGGAAAUCAAAUACAAAUAAAGACAUCCAUCCCUUUAACAUCCCUUGUCUUGAAAGCCAAAAGAUCUCUAUCUUUUUGUUUAUUCUCCUUCUAGUUUGCUUAAUAUACUUUACCCUUUGUACCUAAGUUUCUUCCUAUAUACAGCACCAUACAAGUUCCUGUCUUGGUGAGCCAUUAUAACAGGAGAUCUGAAUGGCAGGUGCUGUUUAAUAAGCUUCCCUAGAAAUAAUUUUCUGUAAUAAAUAAUUUUUUUAAUAAUCAACAAUUUUUUAAAUAAUCAACAAUAAAUAAUCAACAAUUUUAAAACAGAGAGAAAAUAUUAAAGCAAAUGCACAAUAGAAGAAGAAAAAUACUCACCCACCUCAGCAUAACUCAGAAAAAGAAUAAUUUUGUAAGACACCUUCAUCUUUACUAUCCUUCAGGAGCUUCUGCAAGAAUUAGAAAGCAAGAGGCUAUUGCUUUCCUCUCCUCCCCCCAGUUUUUUUUCCUACUUAAAAAUCUUUUGGCUUCAUCACAAUCAACAAAAUAUAUUGCAAUCAUGAAAAAUAGCCUGCAGCUCUGCUGGAUGAAGCAUAUCAGCUUGUUCUCCAAUUUUAGAAAAUUAUAUUUUAUGGCUAUCAAAACUGCAAUGAGGAAGCAGAGUUGUAAAGAGAAGUUGUCUGAGAAACAUGCAGAACUCUAUCUUGAUAAAAAGGCUAAAUGAUGCCAAAACAAAGUCCUUAUCAAAUCAUCCAAAAAAAGAAAAAAAGUUGUAAUAAAAUGUAUGAUGCAUCUGGGGAAGCACUCAGAUUAUAUUGUUAGGUAUGUUUGAGAAAGUAAGUUGACAAGUGGAGAAAGAAACAUAAUCUCUGAUAUAUGAGCAAUUCUGAAACUCUUUCAUGGUGAAUAAGUUGAUCCUUGUCCCUGCAAAACCAAAAUGCAAGUAAAUAAACCACAAAAGUCCUGACCUUUCAUCUCCUUAUUGCAAUCCUCUGACUUCCCUGUUCUAAUGUCAUUCUGUGAAAUUUUGGAUUAAUGGUGCAAAGAAAUAUUUGCCUUGAUAAUAAAG